GUACACACCGCCCGUCAAGCCACGAAAGCGGGGAGCAUCCCAAGUCGCCGUGUCAACCGCAAGGAGACAAGUGCCUAAGAUGAGCUCCGUGAUUGGGACUAAGUCGUAACAAGGUAACCGUAGGUGAACCUGCAGAAGGAUCA
rnacentral:rRNA from 1 species